AGGGACGGACCAUUAGAAAAGUGAUGGGGGGGGGAGGGGAUUUUCUAAGAGGCAAUAUUUUUUUUUUUUGUACACCUAUAGAAGAAAUAUAUUUUUUUUCUCACUUGAUGGUUGGAAAUAUAUUUUUUUUAAGUGAAAUUUAUAGGCCUAUCAGUGGUGUAGUCCUGGAAUGUUAACAAGGGGGGCUCUCCAAAGUGUCCUGAAUUGGCGUGAGGGGUGUACAAUAAGAUAUUUUGGAAAUUCUAAAUUUUGUUGGGGUUUAUUCUAGAAAUUGUGGGACAAACAUUCGACGUUAUUCUUAUUAAAAACAAAGGGGCUGAAAGCGAGGGCCGAAGGCCCGAGGAAAUUUUUAAAUUUAGAGUCUCUGAAAUGCCAUUUCCUGGACUUUGGGGAAGAUUUGACAGAAUUCUGAUGGUCAGAAAACAGCGUUUUAGUAUGUCGAAAUUUACAAUUUAGUUGUAUUAAAUGGGCGAAGGCGUAUUUAGUUAACUAUAUAUUGGAUAAAUUGCAGGAAAUUAUGGGUAAUAUCUUCAUUCUUUGCAGUUUGUCAUGGAUAAUGUAGCAGCUUACAAUUAAUCAAUUGUCAGUGUUUUAAAGAUAUAUUAUUUAAAUGUAUCGAGUAGCUACAGAUUUGUCCUUGGCACAUAUGGUAAAGACUCUACAAUGUUUGAGCCUCUGACCGUAUAGUGAUGACGUAAACUUUAUAUAGGUCUAUGCGCCGAGGGGACUGACCUAACCAUGGCAGCCUAUACUUGCAAUGGGGGGCGGUGAGCUAACCUGUGCCUUGCCUGCGGUAGGAACGAGUGCUGCCUGCUCUCUCAGGCAAAAUGUCUCUUCACCCUGCUGACGAACGCUAGAGGACACAUGAUUUUGUCAAAAGAAUGAUUAUUAGCAAAUUAUGGGGGGGGGGCUGCAGCCCCAAGCCCCUCCCGUUGAUACAGCCCUGGAUAGAGUUUAAAUCAGACAAAACAGGAUCGGUAUUUCAACAGCCAAUUUGCUACGGCGCAUGAACAACGCGGUAUAAAGAUUACAAAAAUCAUUAUUGUGUUAAAUGAUGACUGAAAAUGAGAUACAAUUCUAAAGAACAUUCUCGUUUAGGGGCGGACCAUUUGACUUUUGAGGGGGGGGGGUGGAAGAUUUCGAAAAAAAAUUUCCUGCAACCCAAGGAGAAAGAAAAAAAAAUCAUGCAGCACACAAUCGAGAAAAAAAAAUAUCAUGCAAAAGAGAGCGCUCAAAAAAAAAUUUUCUACAUGUAACUCUACUGAUGCUCUUCACUUCAGUAUUGUGUCCACAGGCUUGCAAGAUUUUGCAUUUUUGAGCAGGCACAUUUGCUUAAAAGAACACGGGGUGAACAGUGGAUAACAUCACAGGGAUUCUACCGCCUUUGGAGCCUCUGACAUACGAUAGCCAGUGGUGUUCCCUGGCAAAAUUGUUGCCCCCCCCCCCUGAGAAAAUCUGGGCUUAAGAUAAUUAUCCAUGGCUGAAAACGCAG